AUUGAACGCUGGCGGCAUGCUUUACACAUGCAAGUCGAACGGUAACAGGCCGCAAGGUGCUGACGAGUGGCGAACGGGUGAGUAAUGCAUCGGAACGUGCCCAGUCGUGGGGGAUAACGCAGCGAAAGCUGUGCUAAUACCGCAUACGAUCUAUGGAUGAAAGCGGGGGACCGUAAGGCCUCGCGCGAUUGGAGCGGCCGAUGUCAGAUUAGGUAGUUGGUGGGGUAAAGGCCUACCAAGCCGACGAUCUGUAGCUGGUCUGAGAGGACGACCAGCCACACUGGGACUGAGACACGGCCCAGACUCCCACGGGAGGCAGCAGUGGGGAAUUUUGGACAAUGGGCGCAAGCCUGAUCCAGCAAUGCCGCGUGCAGGAAGAAGGCCUUCGGGUUGUAAACUGCUUUCGAACGGAACGAAACGGCCUGGGUUAAUACCCUGGGCUAAUGACGGUACCGUAAGAAUAAGCACCGGCUAACUACGUGCCAGCCGCCGCAGUAACAC
rnacentral:rRNA from 1 species